rnacentral:rRNA from 1 species
UACGUAGGGGGCAAGCGUUGUCCGGAUUUAUUGGGCGUAAAGAGCUCGUAGGCGGCUCGGUAAGUCGGAUGUGAAACCUCCAGGCUCAACCUGGAGACGCCAUCUGAUACUGCCGUGGCUUGAGUCCGGUAGAGGAGCAGGGAAUUCCUGGUGUAGCGGUGAAAUGCGCAGAUAUCAGGAGGAACACCAGCGGCGAAGGCGGGUCUCUGGGCCGAUACUGACGCUGAGGAGCGAAAGCGUGGGGAGCGAACAGG